CUCUUAAUUUCAGUUUUUUUUGUUGAUUAUAUGAUUGAAUUGAAGCAACUUAGUUCUAUGUUACUGCAUUAGUUUGUGUAACUUGAAUUAUACUUCCAGUGGAAUGAAUGAAAUAUAUGCAAAAAUAUUAAUGGAAAAGUUCAUGUAUUUGGUCUUGAUUUAAUACGGAUACAUCAACUUUUCGGUGACCUUUUUUGCUUAUAUAUCAUUCCAAAUGGAAUAUUAUGCUAAGGUAUCAAACUAAAAUUUACUUCUUAAGAGUGAGGAGAGAAGCAUUGACACUUUCAACUAAAGAUGUGUCCGUAUUCGAAGCUUGUUGUUUUUGGACACCAACACGAUACUGACAAAUGUGGUCACAUUUAACUAGUUCCAUUUUCUUAAAUUAUUAUCGGUGUUGCAUAGGAGUAAAUUAAGUAAUUUCAACUAAUAGUGAGAAAAUCAAGUAUUUAUAUUUUAAUGCAACUAUGAUUUGUUUUGCAUAUGCAUGUUAUAUCAACCACUAACUUAGGUGUCAGCUUAGUCGUAAGAGUUUGAUUUUGUAACCUCAAGAAAUGAAAAUGAUAUAUUUAUCAAUAGUUGAUAUUACUUACAUUACAUACACUCUAAAGGGAGUUGUCCUUACUUCAGAGAACACUUCUUGCAUUGAUGGUAAUGGUUCUCUGCCGAAAAUCCAACCACAAACUUCAUCCAAUUCUUGGUUGAGGCCUGCUAGAAACAUGCAGACUCUGUCAUUCUCUUCUCUCUUCUUGAAUACGGUGGCGUUAAUCGAAUUUUCCCAAUUGACUAUAUAGCACUGGUCCAACUCUUGCCAAAGGGUAACCAUGAGGUUUGAAAAUGUUGUGACAUUCUCAUCCCUUUGUUUGGACUGUGACGGCCUAGUUUUGAGUUCACAAAUUUGAGAGCAAUUGUCAUGGCCCGAAUAACAAUCUCGAACAACCUCCUAGACAUCCUUUGCAAUUGAGAGGAAUAAAUAUGGCUUCCCAAUAGGAGAAUCCAAUGAGUUGAUCAGCCAACCGAUUACUAAGGAAUUUUCUAUUUCCAUUUUGAGAUGAAUCUGUCUUUUCUUGUUCAGCCCAAUUUUCCCUUUCCAUCAAGGGCUAGUUUCAUAGAUUGAGCCCAUUCAACAUAUUUCUACCAUUCAAAUUUUGAAUCAACAGCUGCAGGCCAUAGUUUGGGGAGCUUCUUUUUCCACUCCCCACAUACCCUUUAGACACAUUUGGAAAAAACAGUUUUUUGUAGUUGGUAGUGAUAUGUGGAGCAAGAACAUGCUUUUGAUUCCUGCAUAUACAGCAUUUUGAGUAAUUGCUUCUCCUGCUAAUUUGAGUUCUCUGUUGUUCCGGGGCGAGCACGAACACUAAUAAAAUUCUGCAACUGUCAUACUAAUUGUCUCGUAAUCUCCAAACCAAUUUUAUCUACUGGUUUGAGAACUCCCUAAUCCAGAGAGUUGCUCUUAGUCUGCAAGAAUUGAGAAUCAUUUGCCUGAAGAAUUUUGAAUAGAGCUAUCAAGCUUGCAUUCAAAGAGGAAAUUUUAGAGGUAUUUUGAAGGAGAUAUAAGGUAUUACAUUUGGGCGCUUUAUUCGACAGAGUCUGUCUAGGGGGAAAAGAGGAAGCAAGAAGUUUGGUGUUUAUGGUGGUUGUUUGACAGGUAGUAGUCAGUUGACACAGUUGAUAAAAGAGUAGUAAAUAGGAAAUGGGCUGGUUGAUGAGGGUGUUCGCUUUGUAAGAUGCAAGUUCACCUUGCUUUUCCGAUUUCUAGAAAUAAUGCACAUUCAUUUCCUUUCUUUCUCUUAUACACUAUCUUCUGCCUAUUACUGGAUCUUAAUAAAUCCUUAGGCAAUGUGGGAAAGCUUCUUAAAGGCAGUGCUCAAGCAGUUCUAAUCUAAAGUAGGUGCUGGACCUCCCAGUUUGGUCCAUGAUGUGGGAUUAUAUACUUUUUGGAGCUAGAAAAUAGGAGGAAAGACGAAGGUUUGAAGAAUAGGGAAUAAGCUGAUUUUAUGGAAGUAAAAACAAAUAGUAAAACAAACAUUAAGAUGGAUAUGGUGGAGGACACACUUUAUUGGCCAAUGGCGGAGAAAAAGUAGAGUGCGGAAUAGGGUUAGGACAACCAUCUUUCUUUUAUAAAAAAUGUGGUCAAGGAAAAGGGUUCAUGCAGUUUGGCUAAGGUGGAACGGAGAUGGAUUUGAAUAUGCUGGUGCCAUAGAGAAGCCAGCCAUGAACGAGUCAGUUGAAAUCAAAGAUUGGGAGGAUGAAUUCAAAUUCUAAUUGAAGAUGUCUUGAUUUAAUCCCGGGCAAAUGUGGUGACAAGAAAGCUAAAAGUAAGUUCAAUUAGAAGGCUUCAAAUCUUGGCAUAAAUAAGGUUGCGUCUAAAAGACAAACGAGGCAGUUAGAUAAAGGAAGCCACUUUAGAUCCCUUUGGUGCCCAUGUGGGUGGAUCUGAUAUUAUGAAACAGAGGG